AGUAACUGUGGUUACAAAAUGUAGCGCACAUUUCUCUGCAACAUCAGAAGCAGGAUAAAUGUGUUGAUUUGAAGGACAGAGGGGCAGACUCUGGAUCCAUUUUGAGAUGACAGAGCAGAAAACACUAUAUGGACAAUACUGACAAAUAAAGGGAAGCCUGGGAAACUGAAAUGUCUGAGCUUUUUCAACAGUGUGACUGUGAACAUCUGUACCAAAACCAAAUUAAGGGAGACAGAGAUAUGAUUAAAAAACAACUGUUGAUGCAACAUGAAAAUAAAAUGGGUGUGUGAGAUGAAUCAUAAACCCAAAUUGAGAA